ACGCCGUAAACGAUGGAUACUAGGCGUUCGAUGGAUUAACCCAUUGAGUGCCGCAGUUCACACAUUAAGUAUCCCGCCUGGGGAGUACGGUCGCAAGGCUAAAACUCAAAGGAAUUGACGGGGGCCCGCACAAGCGGUGGAGUAUGUGGUUUAAUUCGAAGCAACGCGCAGAACCUUACCUACCCUUGACAUCCCGUGACCGCUGCAGAGAUGUAGUUUUCCCUUCGGGGACACGGAGACAGGUGCUGCAUGGCUGUCGUCAGCUCGUGUUGUGAAAUGUUCGGUUAAGUCCGGCAACGAGCGCAACCCCUGUCCUUAGUUACCAGCAUUAAGUUGGGGACUCUAGGGAGACUGCCGGUGUUAAACCGGAGGAAGGCGGGGAUGACGUCAAGUCCUCAUGGCCCUUACGGGUAGGGCUACACACGUACUACAAUGGCAGAAACAGAGGGAAGCAAGACCGCGAGGUGGAGCCAAUCUCAAAAACACUGUCUCAGUCCGGAUUGGAGUCUGCAACUCGACUCCAUGAAGUUGGAAUCGCUAGUAAUCGCAGAUCAGCACGCUGCGGUGAAUACGUUCCCGGGCCUUGUACACACCGCCCGUCACACCACGAAAGAGAUCAUAACCGUAAGCAGGUGAGCUAACCGCAAGGAGGCAGCCUACCAAGGUUGAGGUCUUGAUUGGGGUGAAGUCGUAACAAGGUAGCCGUAGGGGAACCUGC
rnacentral:rRNA from 1 species